rnacentral:rRNA from 1 species
AUUGAACGCUGGCGGCAUGCCUUACACAUGCAAGUCGAACGGCAGCACGGGAGCAAUCCUGGUGGCGAGUGGCGAACGGGUGAGUAAUAUAUCGGAACGUGCCCAGUCGUGGGGGAUAACGUAGCGAAAGCUACGCUAAUACCGCAUACGAUCUACGGAUGAAAGCGGGGGAUCGCAAGACCUCGCGCGAUUGGAGCGGCCGAUAUCAGAUUAGGUAGUUGGUGAGGUAAAGGCUCACCAAGCCGACGAUCUGUAGCUGGUCUGAGAGGACGACCAGCCACACUGGGACUGAGACACGGCCCAGACUCCUACGGGAGGCAGCAGUGGGGAAUUUUGGACAAUGGGCGCAAGCCUGAUCCAGCAAUGCCGCGUGCAGGAUGAAGGCCUUACGGGUUGUAAACGUGCUUUUGUUACGGAACGAAACGGUGAG